ACUCCUACGGGAGGCAGCAGUGGGGAAUAUUGCACAAUGGGCGCAAGCCUGAUGCAGCCAUGCCGCGUGUAUGAAGAAGGCCUUCGGGUUGUAAAGUACUUUCAGCAGUGAGGAAAGGGUGGGAUAUGUUCAGUUAAGUNAUGCAUUCCAUUUUGACGUUAGCUGCAGAAGAAGCACCGGCUAACUCCGUGCCAGCAGCCGCGGUAAUACGGAGGGUGCGAGCGUUAAUCGGAAUUACUGGGCGUAAAGCGCAUGCAGGUGGUUUGUUAAGUCAGAUGUGAAAGCCCGGGGCUCAACCUCGGAAUUGCAUUUGAAACUGGCAAACUAGAGUACUGUAGAGGGGGGUAGAAUUUCAGGUGUAGCGGUGAAAUGCGUAGAGAUCUGAAGGAAUACCGGUGGCGAAGGCGGCCCCCCUGGACAGAUACUGACACUCAGAU
rnacentral:rRNA from 1 species